rnacentral:tRNA from 1 species
GCUGAUAUAGCUCAGUUGGUAGAGCGCCACCUUGGUAAGGUGGAGGUCACCAGUUCAAAUCUGGUUAUCAGCU